rnacentral:rRNA from 1 species
GAUGAACGCUGGCGGUAUGUUUAACACAUGCAAGUCGAACGGACUCUUCGGAGUUAGUGGCGGACGGGUGAGUAACGCGUGAGAAUCUGGCUUUGGGUUCGGGACAACCACUGGAAACGGUGGCUAAUACCGGAUGUGCCGAGAGGUAAAAGAGAAAUUGCCUGAAGAUGAGCUCGCGUCUGAUUAGCUAGUUGGUGAGGUAAAGGCUCACCAAGGCAGCGAUCAGUAGCUGGUCUGAGAGGAUGACCAGCCACACUGGGACUGAGACACGGCCCAGACUCCUACGGGAGGCAGCAGUGGGGAAUUUUCCGCAAUGGGCGAAAGCCUGACGGAGCAAUACCGCGUGAGGGAAGAAGGCUCUUGGGUUGUAAACCUCUUUUCUUAGGGAAGAACAAAAUGACGGUACCUAAGGAAUCAGCAUCGGCUAACUCCGUG